AUUCCGAUAACGAACGAGACUGAAACCUAUUAAUUAGUAUAUCUUUGACAGGGGAUAUCAUGCGAAAGCAUAUUACGAAUUAACUUUCUUACAUGGACGACUUUUAGAUAGUCCUCCCAGCGGUAUAUGAGUACUAACCGUACUUUUUAUUUCUGGAGGGAUUAAUGAAAGGGAAGCGUUCAGCAAUAACAGGUCUGUGAUGCCCUUAGACAUCUUGGGCCGCACGCGCGCUACAAUGGAAGAAGAAAAGAGUUUAGUCAGGGAAUUAUUGCAUUUGG
rnacentral:rRNA from 1 species